GUUCUUGUUCCCCUCUGACAGACACCCUGUAAAGGUUCUUGUUCCCCUCUGACAGACACCCUGUAAAGGUUCUUGUUCCCCUCUGACAGACACCCUGUAAAGGUUCUGUAAAGGUUAUUGUUCCCCUCUGACAGACACCUUGUAAAG